rnacentral:rRNA from 1 species
GGUGAACGCUGGCGGCGUGCCUAAUACAUGCAAGUAGAACGCUGAAGGAAGGAGCUUGCUCUUUCCGGAUGAGUUGCGAACGGGUGAGUAACGCGUAGGUAACCUGCCUGGUAGCGGGGGAUAACUAUUGGAAACGAUAGCUAAUACCGCAUAACAGUAGAUGUUGCAUGAUAUCUACUUAAAAGGUGCAAUUGCACCACUACCAGAUGGACCUGCGUUGUAUUAGCUAGUUGGUGAGGUAACGGCUCACCAAGGCGACGAUACAUAGCCGACCUGAGAGGGUGAUCGGCCACACUGGGACUGAGACACGGCCCAGACUCCUACGGGAGGCAGCAGUAGGGAAUCUUCGGCAAUGGACGGAAGUCUGACCGAGCAACGCCGCGUGAGUGAAGAAGGUUUUCGGAUCGUAAAGCUCUGUUGUAAGAGAAGAACGAGUGUGAGAGUGGAAAGUUCACACUGUGACGGUAUCUUACCAGAAAGGGACGGCUAACUACGUG